GUAGGGAAUCUUGCGCAAUGGGCGAAAGCCUGACGCAGCCAUGCCGCGUGAAUGAUGAAGGUCUUAGGAUUGUAAAAUUCUUUCACCGGGGACGAUAAUGACGGUACCCGGAGAAGAAGCCCCGGCUAACUUCGUGCCAGCAGCCGCGGUAAUACGAAGGGGGCUAGCGUUGCUCGGAAUUACUGGGCGGAAAGGGAGCGUAGGCGGAUAGUUUAGUCAGAGGUGAAAGCCAAGGGCUCCACCUUGGAAUUGCCUUUGAUACUGGCUGUCUUGAGUACGGGAGAGGUGAGUGGAACUCCGAGUGUAGAGGUGAAAUUCGUAGAUAUUCGGAAGAACACCAGUGGCGAAGGCGACUCACUGGCCCGUUACUGACGCUGAGGCGCGAAAGCGUGGGGAGCAAACAGGAUUAGAAACCCCGGUAGUCC
rnacentral:rRNA from 1 species